rnacentral:lncRNA from 1 species
CGCAUUAAAAACAAUGUGUUAGUGCUAUCCUUUGUUUUAUGAUGACAGUGUUCUUGGCUCCAUAUCUAAAUAAUUCUGGCACCGCUACUAACCCACAGCUACUUGGGGGCGGAAUUAAUAUAAUCUAUAUAAGCCUAGGUCUACGCUUGUUUUUUGGCGGAAAUUGUUAGUACUAGUUACGUAGUAGUCGUUAGAUUUAUGUAGAAGGUCCAAGCUUAAAAAAAAAAGACCAACAUCGUUAAGUCCCCAGACCAUCCCUCUGCUCUGCUCAGCUGAUAUGCUCGCUUGGGCGCUUGAGAUUUGCUCUACGCUAGGUUCGUUCAGAUUAUGUAUUGGAUCAUUACUAUAUUGAAUGUGAGAUAUAUAUUUUUGCUAGGUAUAUAAAUCUGAGUUCAAUCCACCACUGACGACCCGUCUCUUAAUUGGUGGAGUACAUGUAUAACAUGCCUCGAUUACUACCAGGACGAAAGCAGUUGCAGUUUGUACUGUACUCCGUAGGCGGCACCGUGGCAGUUGGCAGAAGAUGGGAAAUGCCGAUGGAUGGAUGGAGCAGUGAUCGAUCGCGUCGAGUGCCUCUACAGUAGAGUAUAGUACUCCUACGUAGCUACUCCAGCAGGCCAUGAGUAGUAGUAGUGCUGCUGAGAAAGGCCCCCACGGAUCAUGGAUAGCACAGCUAGCUACUAGCAGUACAGUACAGUACAGUACAGUACAGACGG